rnacentral:tmRNA from 1 species
GGGGGCGCAUUUGGUUUCGACGGGAAUGAUUUUUUAGGGUGCAAAGCGUGCAGUAGGCUGCUACUUUAAAGGGCAAAAAAAAUAAACGCAAAUACAAAUAAUUACGCUAUUGCUGCUUAACGCACUUAGCUGCUGAAGUUGAAAUUCUCGCGAUUCAACAUUCGGCAUCAAAAAAGCGAGGAACGUUUGGUUAUAUUUUCGCAGUAUAAUUAAAUGAACAAAUGCGAAUAGCAAUUUAAAAAUUUGAACGUUAUUUUUAAAAUGUGAACUUAAAAAUGUUCUAAGCACGUAGAAAAGCUCUAUAAAACUUUUUCGGACGAGGGUUCAACUCCCUCCGUCUCCACCA